CCCCACCCUGAAAGAUACGUGCAUUUUCUCUUCCUUAAGGGUUGAUUAGAGACCUGAGAAAUCCAAGCCAACAUAAAGUCCUGGUUUCCAGAUCAGACUACAUGAACAAAGUAAAAAAAGACUGCAAAAGUGCUAGCUUUUACAGAGCCCUUAAAUAAAAUAAAACAAAUAUAUAUAAAGGAACCUAGAGCUGAGGAGAAUGGACCCAUAGUCCCUUAAAAACAGGGACCCAUGGAAGGAAGAACAAAAGGAUAAAAAAAUCAUAUAGCACUGAGAUGAAACGAAAGUAUGUAAAAAAGAGAAUAAAAGUAACUCUGAUAUAUCUGUUGAUUUGCAGUGUUUAGCCUGGAGUGCCGGAUGGCUACUCCAAGCGGCAGAAACUCUUUUAGCAGCCAACAUAAAAAGGGCCCUCUGGCGCCAGCUUCACAUUUGUGGCUCCAGAACUGAAACCCUUCCCUUGACCCCUCUCCACCUGCCUAGCUCUGUUCAGAUCUUCUCUCCUCUGGUUUCAGCUUCAUCACUUGCUUCUCUGCAUUUGCCUGACCCACAAAUGCACAAGGUUGUCUUCUGUGCCAUGACUUUUUCUCCUUGCAGCUAGUAUGAUGAAAAUUGGGACCUUUCAUCCAGCUAUGUUGUCUCAGGCCACCUUGGCUGACAACCCUCCCAGUUGGACCCAGUCCUCAGGAUUUUUUUCUUUUGUGAAAAACACACAGCUCAAUGCACAUUUCCAGAAAAUAAGGCUGAGAUCACCUAAAUGCAGAAACGGUAUAAACGUCUAUCAUUUCUGGACACAAAUGUCUCUUUUUCAGUUUUAUAUAUUAUCUUACUUAUAAUUUUUUUACCUUACUAGUAUCACCAUAUUAUUAAUAUUACCCUACUAAUAACUGAUAUUUGAUGGAUUGCAACUGGAUUUUCACAGAAAAAUAAAAUACUACAUCUGCCAGAAAGUAAAUGCAAGAAAAAAAUUAAUGAAAGCAAGAAAGGAACUAACACAUGGAGUUAGACAUCAACUUUUCCUCUUAGAAAAUCUGAAGAAAAGCUCAAAUGAAGAGGAAGAUUGUUUUAGAAUAAGUCAUCUCAUGUGGGUUUAAUGCACUUUUUAAAAAUGUGCAUUUUUAUUUUUGUGAAAAGAAUUUUACUUCCCCUUUCAUUUUGAGGAGGGGGCAAAAAACUUGGGAGCACCAUAACCAUGUUUUAGUGUCAAAAGGAAAUUGCUGACGUGAGAAAUGUUACGAAUUUAUGAAAAACAAUAGUUUUUUCUCCAAAUUAAAAUGUUGUGUGCUUCUCUACUUUUCCCCAUUGCCACGAGAGUAUAUAUAUA